rnacentral:sRNA from 1 species
AAUCCUCGGUAGGUGAGGUUACUUUAAGGAUACGGAUUGAUACCGUGAAAGAGUGGAAACACUCUAAGCUGGUUAGCAAAUUUUACCGAACAAAGAAGGUUUAAUUUAAUUCAAUUUCAUUGCCUUAAAGAGCUAAAACUUGAACGAGAAAGU